GCUCAUGACUCGCUUCGCGGCUCUACCGCCUCGUGUACUUAUUGUCGAUGCAGCAGAAAUCGCACUCGAUUCAUUGUCCGAAUCGCUGCGCACGCAUUUCUUCGACGAGGCUCUGAGCGGAUGCCAAACGUUCAUUAUUGACCGUGACGAAUCCCCGAAGCUGUUGGCGUACAACAAUAGCAUCCAAGUCGGAGAAAGUCCUGAGAGAAGUUCGAUCGUAUCUGAGUUACCCUCCCUCGAUCUUUCAAUCGAUCGUAUCUGAGUCACCCUCCCUCGAUCUUUCAAUCGAUCGUCGUUCAAGCGUCGCCCUGAGCACGAGGUUGAUGGUCGAUGCGACUUCUGUCUCUUCCAUCGAUGCCGGACCCUUCUCUAUCUCAAUGGCUGAUG